GUAAGGAAUAUUUGGUCAAUGGACGCAAGUCUGAACCAGCCAUGCCGCGUGCAGGAAGACGGCCCUAUGGGUUGUAAACUGCUUUUGUCGGGGAAGAAACCCACCUACGUGUAGGUGGCUGACGGUACUCGAAGAAUAAGGAUCGGCUAACUCCGUGCCAGCAGCCGCGGUAAUACGGAGGAUCCAAGCGUUAUCCGGAUUUAUUGGGUUUAAAGGGUGCGUAGGCGGCGUUGUAAGUCAGUGGUGAAAGUUUUCAGCUUAACUGGAAAAUUGCCAUUGAUACUGCAGUGCUUGAGUAUAGAUGAGGUGGGCGGAAUGUGUCAUGUAGCGGUGAAAUGCAUAGAUAUGACACAGAACACCGAUUGCGAAGGCAGCUCACUAAACUAUAACUGACGCUGAGGCACGAAAGCGUGGGGAUCAAACAGGAUUAGAUACCCCUGUAGUCCGG
rnacentral:rRNA from 1 species